UUGUUUCGUUAGUUAUUGCCUGCGAAUAAGAUCAAAAAGCGAUUGAUCAAAAAAAAAAAAAAAUCAGAAAGCGCUUGACCAAGAAAAAAAGAAAGAUCAAAAGCGCUAACCCUAAUUGUCUCUUUUGUUCAUUUGAGUCUGUGUUCCGCAAGAAUGACAAUCGAUAGUUCUCAAUCUCUUUGUAACGGAACUCUAAUGAAUGACGAUCAAUAGUUCAUCUCUCUGUAAUGACUUUAAUGGCAUUAAUACAGACGCCCAGAACGAGCCCUUCAAUGCGUCGUUUCCAUUGGCGAAAUCUCCGCUAUAAAUAGGGUGUUUUUUUCUUAUUUGAAGACCUGGAAGUGUUCAUCGGUUGUGGAAGCUAGACUGCUGAGAUACUGGGAGGCUAGGAACGUUAAGCGUGGUGGAGAGCUUAUGUGGGAUCCAUAAGAUUAUAAAAAAGGGUUUGAAUUUCUCCCAGGCUAUCCAUGUAGGCGGACACGUCACUAAUUCGUGCUUUCUGGAAGCGACAUAUGUCCGCCUAAACGAAACGAUGCGUUUCAUUUAGUUACGUACGGGCUUUUUUUUAUUUCUUUUGGUCCAGAUGGGCUUUGUUUCGUUAGUUAUUGCCUGCGAAUAAGAUCAAAAAGCGAUUGAUCAAAAAAAAAAAAAAUCAGAAAGCGCUUCCCUAAUUGUCUCUUUUGUUCAUUUGAGUCUGUGUUCCGCAAGAAUGACAAUCGAUAGUUCUCAAUCUCUUUGUAACGGAACUCUAAUGAAUGACGAUCAAUAGUUCAUCUCUCUGUAAUGACUUUAAUGGCAUUAAUACAGACGUCCAGAACGAGCCCUUCAAUGCGUCGUUUCCAUUGGCGAAAUCUCCGCUAUAAAUAGGUUAGUAUUUCCCUUCUGGAGAUCUUGCUCUCUUCAUCUCUCUGCUACUUAUCUCUUUUAUUCUCGAUCUUCUACUCAUCUCUCUCAAUGACCAUCUCCAGGGUGUUUUUUUCUUAUUUGAAGACCUGGAAGUGUUCAUCGGUUGUGGAAGCUAGACUGCUGAGAUACUGGGAGGCUAGGAACGUUAAGCGUGGUGGAGAGCUUAUGUGGGAUCCAUAAGAUUAUAAAAAAGGGUUUGAAUUCCUCCCAGGCUAUCCAUGUAGGCGGACACGUCACUAAUUCGUGCUUUCUGGAAGCGACAUAUGUCCGCCUAAACGAAACGAUGCGUUUCAUUUAGUUACGUACGGGCUUUUUUUUAUUUCUUUUGGUCCAGAUGGGCUUUGUUUCGUUAGUUAUUGCCUGCGAAUAAGAUCAAAAAGCGAUUGAUCAAAAAAAAAAAAAAUCAGAAAGCGCUUGACCAAGAAAAAAAGAAAGAUCAAAAGCGCUAACCCUAAUUGUCUCUUUUGUUCAUUUGAGUCUGUGUUCCGCAAGAAUGACAAUCGAUAGUUCUCAAUCUCUUUGUAACGGAACUCUAAUGAAUGACGAUCAAUAGUUCAUCUCUCUGUAAUGACUUUAAUGGCAUUAAUACAGACGCCCAGAACGAGCCCUUCAAUGCGUCGUUUCCAUCGGCGAAAUCUCCGCUAUAAAUAGGUUAGUAUUCCCCUUCUGGAGAUCUUGCUCUCUUCAUCUCUCUGCUACUUAUCUCUUUUAUUCUCGAUCUUCUACUCAUCUCUCUCAAUGACCAUCUCCAGGGUGUUUUUUUCUUAUUUGAAGACCUGGAAGUGUUCAUCGGUUGUGGAAGCUAGACUACUGAGAUACUGGGAGGCUAGGAACGUUAAGCGUGGUGGAGAGCUUAUGUGGGAUCCAUAAGAUGAGAGGAGAGAGUUGGUUUCAAAUAAUAACAGGGCCUAACAUGGGAGGGAAGUCCACUUUCAUUCGCCAGGUUGGUGUGACUGUACUGAUGGCUCAAGUUGGUUCCUUUGUUCCUUGUGAUGAAGCUUCAGUUUCCAUCAGAGACUGUAUCUUUGCCCGUGUAGGAGCAGGCGAUUGCCAAGUGAGUUUAGCUCUCUGCUUCUUUGUUUUUGAAACCGCUGGGUUGUGUAAAUCCUCUUUUAAGUUUUUUUUUGAACUUUCAUGUUUUUUUUUUUAACUUUCAUGUUUUUUAGCUGCCUGGAGUGUCUACUUUCAUGCAAGAAAUGCUUGAAACCGCUUCUUUUAUUUCGUUUUUGUGUUGAUUUGUUGUUAAUAUUAUCUUGGUGAAUGUAUCAGGUCUAGCAUGGGCUAUAUGUGAGCGUCUGGUUCAAGUGAAGAAAGCUCCUACUCUGUUUGCUACUCACUUCCAUGAACUUACUGCCUUGGCUCAAGCAAACUCUGAGGUUGCAGGUAACAUCGUUGGUGUUGCAAACUUCCAUGUCAGUGCACACAUUGACACAGAAAGCCGCAAACUCACCAUGCUUUACAAGGUUGAACCAGGAGCAUGUGACCAGAGCUUUGGGAUCCAUGUGGCUGAGUUUGCUAACUUCCCUGAAAGCGUAGUGGCUCUAGCAAGAGAGAAAGCUACAAAAGUGAAAAAAUGCUAGGAUAUGCGAGCAGUUUACUUGAUAGCAACAUCAAGGCCACUUCCUUCAAAAACAAACGUACUACCAACAAUCCAGUGACUGGAAUAGCUGGGAGUGUGUCCCCAAGAUUUCAUAUCCAACUUGAUUCAUCAGUCACCCCAUGGUUGGUUGUUGUUUUACGAGAAGAACAUUUGGGCAUAUAUAUUACUUAAAUAAAUGGAUGCAUCUGGUUUAGAGUUGGCAGCCUAUGAUUUCACUGAUUUUGCAAAUCCUGCAGUCAUGGAUAUUCUUCUCUUGCAUACAGUCAUCUGUCUACUCAAGGUUCAUGCUUCAGCAAGAACUUUAUUGCUCAUCUCAGUAGGGGGUUACCAACCUCCGUACUUCAAAAAAAAAUCCGCCUAGCCUCUUCCCUUAAAUUACCAAGCCAUACCACAACCAACUAGCUUCCUUACGGAACCAAUCGUUUUCAUAGCAGAAAAUUAAACAGAAACACCAUAGACCCGCACAAAUUUCUAAAUCAUAUUAUGUAUGAAGCUUCUUUGAUAUUGGCAUAGUCAAGAACUGGAAUUUGCAUAAAGUUGGCUAACCACCGUCAUUGUGUCACCAUUAUUGCCACUCUACAAGUAAUGCUUCGUCCAUACAUAGGGGCCAUAAAUAUUUCAGGCUUCCAAAGUUGCAGAAUUCUGAAUUCCUUGACGCUUAAACAUAUUAUCAAUUCUUUUGUUUGAGCUCGAAGGCGUAUAUUUUGUCCCACUAUAGUACACAUUUCUUUAUGGAAGCUGUCAUCAGGGUUUUGACAUGUUUUUUUUCUGAGAAAACAUAUAGCACAAAUAUUUACCAAUAUAAUUAAAAAUCAUGUUUUAUUUAAUUUGAUGAAAGUGAGAAAAACAAAAAAAAAAUUAACUUAAAACAAAAAAAAAUUUUUUAAAAUCAAUGUUUUAAGUACGAAUAUCAUAUUCAUAAAAUCAAUUAUGUAUAUAUUAUUAUUUUUAUUAUAAAUUUUAUAUAUAAGUAUACAAUUAUAUUUAGUUAAUUGGUUUCUUUGGUUUAUUCAGUUGGAUCGGUUUAUAUACCGAACCAUAUUCAUAUACUGCGGUUUCUUAAUAAUAACACUAAUUUGGUUUAUUCGGUACUACCAAAUCUAAACCAUUUUCUCUAUUUUGGUUCGGUUCAAUUUUUAUCGGUUCGGUUUUACCGGAUUGAACAUCCCUAGAAUUUACCCUACUGAUCACAUAUUUCCCUCUGCGCCGCCAGCGACCCUCCUAUAUAUAUCUCCUUCUGUGUCCAAAUAUUUUUGAAUCAUAAUUUUAUAUAUAAAGAUAUAAUAAUGAAUUUAAGGUAUAGAAUCCAAAAUAUCUAAAAUAAGAAAAAAUACUUGGAGCUGUCUAAAAUACCUGAAAGUAUUUUUUAGUCAAAAGUAAAUAUUUGAAAUAAGUAAAAAAAAAAGACUAAAAAAACCUAAAUUAUUUAAUGGUUUUCCACUGAAAUAUUCAAACUAAAAUAAUUUCCAUGAUAAUUUUAUUUAUUUAGUUAUACAUUAAUAUAAUAUAUAUAUGUGUAUUACUUUUAUUUUGGAAUUUGAAGAUCUUAAAAUAUAUUUCGAUUUCAAUAAAAUAAACAUAAUUUAAACGGUAGACAUAAACUAAACUUGAUAGGAUAUUUGAAUAGACAUAAACUGAACUCGAUCAGAGAUUUGAUGUCCACCCAUGCAUUAAAUUAAAUUAAAAAUAUAUCAGAACAAUAACUCAAAAAAAUUUAACUGUUCUUGAAAAUAAAUCAACAAAUAUUCUUAUAGUCCUUACCAUUAAGAUAUCUCUAACAAAAUUAUAAUUCUAAAAAACAAAUAAGAACUUGAUUAUAAAAAAUAUGAAAAAUAAUUAUUUACAAUAUAAUUUUUAAGAAUAAAAAACAAUUGUAAAAAAUUAUAAAAAUAAUUGCAAAAUAUAAAAACUAGUUUACAGAGUCAGCAUGAAUUUGUUUUAUUUGAUGACAAGAAAAAUAAUACAAAUAGAUAUGCAAUACUUAUUUUAAACACUAUAAAUAUUGAUCAUAAUUAUAUAAUAUUAUCUUCACAUCAAACUUUCUAAAAAACCAGCUAAAUUUAAUAAAACUAUUAAAAUCUUAAAAAUAAACUAACAUAUAUUCUCUACACACCAACAUUCUUAAAAACUUUAAAUAUUAUAAUAUAUUUCUCUUGCAAGAGCUCAUAGAACAUAAUAAAAAAUAAGAUACAAUUCUAUAGUUUUGACAUCACACGUAACUCAUAUCCCGCGCGUAGCGCGGACCGACCCUAGUAUAAUAGAAAUCAUUGUGUUAUAUAAGUACAAACAAGAAGUUGAACGUAAAAAUAAAAUAAAAAAGGUUCAAAAUCACCAUCUUUGAAAGGUUGAAUCUUAACUGAAUCCAUGAAUUUAUCAUAUGUAUUCUCUUAAGCAGUGCUUCAGUAACUCUUGCAAAGUGUCUUCACUACCAUAAAAGCCCCAGUGAAUACAAAAUCACAAGGGAAUCCACAGUCAUCGCUAAGAAAGGUAAGAGAGAGUUCCAACACUUGAAGUAAAGAGAUUUACUAAAGAUUCCUAUUUAAUAGGAGUUUUUGAAAGUAAUGUUCAAUAGGAAAAAUCAUGAAACAUCGAGGAAUACCAUAAGCAGUAACAAAAUAUGCAGAAAAAUGUCAAGAUGAGUAAGGAUGGAGCAAAAACUUAUGUAGCUUAUAAAUACAAUAGGGAAGAAACCGUGCCUGAAUUGGACGUUGGCCCCAGAAUAACUCAGUAUCACUAAGUUCUUCAAUGGGACUGAGAAACAUGUAGAUGAUUCAAGUCUGCUGAAUAAUAGUCACAUGUGUACUGCACUGAGAAUCUGAGAUCAAGCAAACAAUCUUGUGUUGGAAACAAUUAAAAAAAUGUCCCCUCAUAAUAAAACUUACAGCAGCAAGAGUAAUAAUAUUCACAAAAGAAAGAC